CUUUUGAUCCUGGCUCAAGAUGAACGCUCGCGGCCGGCUUAACACAUGAGUCUGGAGGGGUAUUGGUUUUCGGAGAAGAGACCGGCGCACGGGUGCGUAAUGCGUAUGCAAUCUACCUUUCACGGAGGGGUACCCCCGCCCGUUUGGAUUAGUACCUCGGGGUAUUCUGAAAUGGCAUCCUUUUAUAAUUAAAGUCACAACGGUGAAAGAUGAGCAUGCGUCCCAUUACCUUGUUGCCAAGGUAAAUGCUUACCAACGGAACGAUGGUUAUGGGUCCUGAGAGGUAGAUCCCCCACUCGGGUACUGAGACACCAACCAUACUCCUUGAGGAGGCAGCAGUGAGGAAUAUUGGUCAAUGGACGCAAGUCUGAACCAGCCAUGCCGCGUGCAGGAUGACGGUCCUAUGGAUUGUAAACUGCUUUUGUACGAGAAGAAACAACAUUACGUGUAAUGUCUUGACGGUAUCGUAAGAAUAAGGAUCGGCUAACUCCGUGCCAGCAGCCGCGGUAAUACGGAGGAUCCAAGCGUUAUCCGGAAUCAUUGGGUUUAAAGGGUCCGUAGCGGGUUAGUAAGUCAGUGGUGAAAGCCCAUCGCUCAACGGUGGAACGGCCAUUGAUACUGCUAGACUUGAAUUAUUAGGAAGUAACUAGAAUAUGUAGUGUAGCGGGUGAAAUGCUUAGAGAUUACAUGGAAUACCAAUUGCCAAGGCAGGUUACUACUAAUUUGAUUGACGCUGAUGGACGAAAGCGUGGGUACCGAACAGGAUUAGAUACCCUGGUAGUCCCGCCGUAAACGAUGGAUACUAGUGGUGGGGGCAACUUCAGUGGCUAAGCGAAAGUGAUAAUAAUCCCCCCUGGGAGACCUCGCAGAAUGAAACUCAACGGAAUGAAGGGGCC
rnacentral:rRNA from 1 species